ACGGGAGGCAGCAGUCGGGAAUUUUGCGCAAUGGAGGAAACUCUGACGCAGUGACGCCGCGUGCAGGAAGAAGGUUUUCGGAUUGUAAACUGCUUUAGACAGGGAAGAAAAAGGACAGUACCUGUAGAAUAAGCUCCGGCUAACUACGUGCCAGCAGCCGCGGUAAUACGUAGGGAGCAAGCGUUAUCCGGAUUUAUUGGGUGUAAAGGGUGCGUAGAUGGGAAUGCAAGUUAGUUGUGAAAUCCCUCGGCUCAACCGAGGAACUGCAACUAAAACUAUAUUUCUUGAGUACUGGAGAGGAAAGUGGAAUUCCUAGUGUAGCGGUGAAAUGCGUAGAUAUUAGGAGGAACACCAGUGGCGAAGGCGACUUUCUGGACAGUAACUGACAUUGAGGCACGAAAGUGUGGGGAGCAAACAGGAUUAGAUACCCUGGUA
rnacentral:rRNA from 1 species